rnacentral:tRNA from 1 species
GCCCCUGUAGCUCAUCUGGACAGAGCAAUUGCCUUCUAAGCAAUGGGUAGUGAGUUCGAGUCUCGCCAGGGGCGCCA